GAUGAACGCUGGCGGCGUGCCUAAUACAUGCAAGUCGAACGGAGUGCUAGCAAUAGUACUUAGUGGCGAACGGGUGAGUAACGCGUUGGUGACCUACCCCGAAGCGGGGGAUAACAGCUCGAAAGGGCUGCUAAUACCCCAUGAGGUCUUACUGGUUAGAGGCGGUAAGACGAAAGGGAGCAAUCCCACUUUGGGAGGGGCCUGCGUCCCAUCAGCUAGUUGGUAGGGUAAAAGCCUACCAAGGCGAAGACGGGUAGGGGACCUGAGAGGGUGACCCCCCACACUGGCACUGAAACACGGGCCAGACACCUACGGGUGGCAG
rnacentral:rRNA from 1 species